GCAGGAAAAAAAUUGGCAUCACUUGGGCAAAGCUGAUGUUCGUCGUGGUCAUGGAAAAUUUUCAACAUGUUUAAAAUCUUCGACGUUC